ensembl:lncRNA
GGCGGAGGGGCCGGGCCGGGCGGCGGAGCGCUGCGCGCUGACGGCUCCGUCAAAGUCUCAUUUGAACAACAUCAUUCAAGAAUUUCAGAGCAGGAAGUGGAGGAUCCAGUCUCCAGCUGAAAACGCAGGAGGAAUUUAGGUCGCCGGGUUGGAAUUUGCUCACAGGCUUGGUAACAGCCUUCGCUCUGUGCGCAGCGUUUAUCUGCUGGACCUCACCGUGACAAAGACCAAAAUAUGGCUGGUCAUGGUCAUAGAAUCGUAUCAGAGAAUCAUAGAAUGGCCUGGGUUGAGAAGGACCACAAUGAUCAUGUAGUUUCAACCCCCUUGCUACGUGUAGGGUUGCCAACCACUAUACCAGGCUGCCCAGAGCCACAUCCAGCCUGGCCUUGAAUGCCUCCGGGGAUGGGGAGGGAGUGUCUGCUGUAAAAAGCCAGAGCUCAAAGCUAGCAGUGAUACGUCCUGUUAUUUCCUCUUUUAACAAAGUGAGGGUUAGCUGGGUUUUGCUAAUCGCUGGGAUUAUUUGGGAAGGAAACCUGAAGUACGUCUUUGCAUUAACCCCUCUGACAAAACGGUGCAGCUCCUUCACUGCUGUCCAAAUGCAACAGUUUGCAUGCUGAAAGAGGGGUUGUGUGUGCAUUUUACUCACCAACAAUACAGACAAGCCACAACUGGUGAAAAUCUGUGUCAGUGUAAGCUUAUUGUGUUCAGUUUAGAAAUAUGUGUAAUCACAGAAAUAGCAGCCUUUUCAUCUCAGCGAUUUUCAUGCCUACGAGCGUAUUCUUGUGGCCUCCUUGCUCCUUUUCUUUGCUCCUUGCUAAUUACUUUGGGCUUUCCUUCCUAUUUCCAAUUUAUCCAUUGCGCUCUCCUGGGAAAUGCUUAAAAUCAUUGCGCCUGUAAUACUUGUGAUGUUCCUUGCCUCAGUGCUCUCCCUGCAGCUCCUGACUGAUGACUGACAGCGGUAUGGCUGCACCUCCAGUGGUUUCAGUUGUAUGUUGUUUGACACGUCUCAGUCCUUAAAAAAUAAAUCGCUCUGGUUUCCGAUGCUCCUUUCUUUUUAUUGUGUUAAGUAGCUCCCUUUUAGUGACACACCAAGUACUAUGUGCCUUCUCACUGUUAUGGCUUUUUUGGCAGAGCCGAAUGACACGUCAGUGGAAUUUUAUAAUGUGGGCAAUUGUCCACCAAGAAAUUGACUGUCUGUUCACAUAAAACUCAACAAAAAGAACAGAAGCAAUACUGGUGCAACUUGUAGCAAGUACUCCCUCUCGAAAGGCUCUUUCAGCCAAGAGGAGGAGUGGAAGCUUUGUUUAAUUGAAACCUUAGGUUUGGAACAAACUGAGUACUAAUUGCUCCUCAGCUUCCCGGGACCUUGGUGAAAUUUUUCUUCUUUUAGAUUCCACUUCUUGUACAAUUUGCGGAAACUGCAAUACUUCAUAUAACGAGAUAGAAAUGGUGUGUUUGAUGGGGGGAACAGAACUACGCAUGACUAUUACUUCGUGUUUAUUCUCUUACUUUUGUAUUUGACCUCCAUUCUGUUGUAAAAUUGUAUUCUGAAGCAUGUUGACAGAGCAGUAUUUGCUUGUAGCCGUGCUAAUCAAAGGUCACGGGUAGGCUGAAGUAGACAGCUAUUUAUGGCACCAAAUAAAAGAAGAUAUUGGGACGGCGAUGGCACUUUGUGUCUGCUAAAUGAGGCCUCCUGGCCUCUGGCUCGCAAGCCAGAAUGCCCACCUAGCACUGCUCACACCACUCCAAAGGGAUCGCCUCAGCUCAGCUUAUAUGGCGCUGUUUGGUCUCUGGAAAGUAUUCUCACUUUUUUUUUUUCCCUCCUGGUGCUGCAAAUGUAUGUUACCACUUUAUCUCUGUGGAGCAACUAUGGAAACAAAAAGAUAUGCGUGAGAGGAAACUGCUGAUUAAAGAGUAUCCAUGGCAUGAAGGCAGAAGUUAGUAGGCACGCACUAAACUCCCCAAUUGUUCUCAGAUAGGUGUCCACGCAGAGAACUAUGACAGAAAAAAUGUAUUUUUCGGUAGUCAUUCUGCUUGCUUUCCCUUUGUGCACAACCUUUGCUAUGAUUAGAAAUGCUUUCACAACAUUCUUAGGGGAAAUGUGGGGAACUAAAAUGUUUCCCUGCAGGCUUUCCAGCUCUGCUAUUGCAGCCAGCCUUAUCAAAUAAAAAGUGAAACUAGUCACAAGCAAGCUGGUGGUGUUAAUCAUUAGCUAACCCAAAGAAAUUUAAAAGAAAGCCGAGAAGGACUGAGUCAGAAUGUAGAAAAUCUCUGUGCUAAUAGUUGCAUUUGUUCCCAGUUCUUAAACUCUAAUUAACGCUGUGCUGCUUCACAGACAAAACACACAGAAUUGCUCAAGCAUAUCUUAUGCUAGGAGCAGAAAAGAACAAUAACAUGUAAGAGAAAGCAGAUUUUGACCACAGAACGAUAAAAUAUCUUUUGUUUCUUCAGGUUCAGCCCCCCUAAGCGCUGCAUUAUGUAAUAUCUACUGAACUUCAGAAAACAACAUGGGCAGUGCAGCAGACAAGGAAAUAAAAUGCUGCUUGAAAACCGAAGAACCACUCCUUGGAUGUUAAGAUUUAUUUAAAGGAUCACAUCAAGGAUCAAUCGUGCAAUAUUUUCAGUACUUUUUGUCCCAGCCCAACAAAUCACUUCAGCAGAAGAGUAGCACUGUUGGUUACGUAAUUUUUCAUUGACUUAUUUAAGCCUGCAUGCAAGUGCAGAACCCAGAAUGCAUCUUGUCCAUCUUUUGGAAAGGGCACAGCAAUUCAGCAUGCUUCAUUUUUCCUGCGCAGUCAGUUCCUAGCCGAACUGACCUCGGAUAAACCAUGUGGUGUCCAUGUGAAAAGUAUCAGUCUCGUAGGAUUUGGACAGAGUUCAGCAAAUUGAUUUGACAACCAUAUGGUCCUCUUCAUCCACAUGAACCUUGAAGAAGUCUGACUUCCUUCCAGCCUGUUGAGUAGAGUAAGGGAAGAUGGGAACCAUUCUUAAAACUUGCCAAUGUUAUUCCUAAAUUUGCUGGAUGAGAACACCGUCAACAAACUGCC